GAUGAACGCUGGCGGCGUGCCUAAUACAUGCAAGUAGAACGCUGAAGGAGGAGCUUGCUCUUCUGGAUGAGUUGCGAACGGGUGAGUAACGCGUAGGUAACCUGCCUGGUAGCGGGGGAUAACUAUUGGAAACGAUAGCUAAUACCGCAUGACAACAGUUAUUGCAUGAUAACUGUUUAAAAGGGGCAACUGCUCCACUACCAGAUGGACCUGCGUUGUAUUAGCUAGUUGGUGAGGUAACGGCUCACCAAGGCGACGAUACAUAGCCGACCUGAGAGGGUGAUCGGCCACACUGGGACUGAGACACGGCCCAGACUCCUACGGGAGGCAGCAGUAGGGAAUCUUCGGCAAUAGACGGAAGUCUGACCGAGCAACGCCGCGUGAGUGAAGAAGGUUUUCGGAUCGUAAAGCUCGGUUGUAAGAGAAGAACGAGUGUGAGAGUGGAAAGUUCACACUGUGACGGUAGCUUACCAGAAAGGGACGGCUAACUACGUG
rnacentral:rRNA from 1 species